GAUUCGAACGUUAUCACUCGAUUGAAUGGGGCGUUAUCAGCGGUUAUCAGCCCAUAGCUAUGAGCCAGGAGGGGCCUCCUGCGCCUACUAGUAGGCUCAGAAGGCCGUGAUCAUCCAUCCAAAUGGUUGAUCACCAACAAAUAUACAAGAGAAGACUCCAGAUCCAAUCCCAGAAUUCCUGCUCACCGGUAAUCGGAAGUCUACUGGACGAAAGCGGCAACGUUGCGAUAUUUCCUGCUUAAUAUUUUCAGAUAUGGGAAAAGCUCUUAAGAUGACCACACGUUUCAGGAACGUUAAAAUUAAGUUGGUGAGGAGGUCUAUUGCGGGCCCUGCAAAGUUUUCUUACCUCAGUCAAGGUCUUCCCCAGCCCAGCUACAAACAGACCCACCCUUCAGACCCUUCUAUUACAUCUCAACCUGCUGAACCUGAUGAUGCGACACAGAGCUGUUCUGAGAGUGCAUACAGUAAGGCAAAGAAGAGAGAGCUUCAUGCCUGGGAUGCAGUCAAGGAGGAGAUGCUUAAGGUGUCGUUUGAAUGUCGUCGGAAUCCACUGACGGCUCUGCACCGUUACAGUCUAGAUGUGUGCGUGUGAACCAGAAGCCUGCACUCUGCUGAGAUAUGGGCUCUGACCAGCAACAGCCACAAGCCCCAGACAGACAGCCUUCUCCAUCCCUCUGAUAGAGCUUUCUGUUUCUCUGUCACUGGAGGGUCAGGUUUCUAUUGAGGGUUUUUGCAACACUCCAUAUCCCAUUUUAGGCAUCACCACUUCCGACAAAGAAGUUUGGUUAAUAUUUGCCCACAAUUAAAUUAUGGAACCAUAUGCCCAGCAUGUCCAAAGGUUGGUUAUAAUUCUAGCGUGGUUCUUGUUUGAUUAAAUUAAUGGCAUAGAAUUAAAAUCUGAAUUAAUAUCAAACUAAGUUAAUUUGUUUAUGUAGUAUUAUAAUAGAAGUAAUAGUAUAAAUGUAUAAACCUGGUGCGGGUACACAACCAGUGUUACUGUAAGUGUUUGUUUUCCAGGCGGCUGGAGAUAUGAUUGUCACAUUGGAUGCCAACUUUGGCCUUGUGAGGAAUCAAAGCUCUGGGACAAGUGCGGUUGAUCCAUUACACAGAACCCGCAUGAGUAAUACCUGCUAUCACAUCUUGACAGCUCAAAGCCUCAAGAGGUUAAUCAUUGUUGCAGAAUUUCAUGGCCUAAUCCAUGAAAUAUUAAUUAAACUUGUGAAAAAGAUCACUUCCCAUAAAUCUAUGUUUUCCUUAAAUCUUUAGGACUGCAGUAAGCUGCUCUCAUUCAAGGUAUCUAACUGCUGGAAAGAAAAUGACAUCAAGCCAUUGUGAUGUUUCACCCACAUGUACAAGACAUUAUAGACAUAUAAUAUAAUAUAAUUAUAAUAUAUAAAUAAUUUAAUUACUUUACUGCAUUACUUGUGCAGACAUGUUGUUUUACUAGGUCUGAUCUCUUUUAAAGCUUAGGCACUGUAUUUAAGCAUACAUAUCACCACUAGUCUGUCUGUAUGAGUACAAAAUAAAAAAAUAAACUGUCUAUAAUUGUUACUGUACAAGCACAGUAAAAUAUUUAUAUAAAAUAUAUUGCACUACUGUUAUUUUGCAUAGAAUACAUUGUUCAACAAUAUUUUUGCACACUCAUCCAACUGCAUUUAUUACCACUGUUCUCAUGUUCCUGCGGUUCAUAAUGUAUAUAUAAUCCUUCAUUGCUCUGUUCAUAAUGUACAUACAAUCCCUACAUUGCAUUCAUAUUUAUAUUCUGUAUAUACUCUGAUCAAUAUUGUAUAUAGCAACUCCACUGUACAUUCUGUAUAUCAUAGCUUUACUUACUCUGCACUUUUAUGUAUAUAAAACACUAUAUUCUUGCACUUCUGGUUAGAUGCUAACUGCAUUUCAUUAGCUCUGUACUGUACUCUGCAUAAUGACAAUAAAGUUGAAUCUAAUCUAAUCUAAAAAAAAAAAAUGUGUUUACCAUAAUGUAAUAUGUUAUUUACUGUAAUGUACAAAUGUGGUCAAUGUGUAGGAGGUGUUUUGUUUUUUGUGAGCUCACCAUCAAAAUCCCCUUCGACUGAGUUGAAAUGACAAUAAAUUAUUGGAUCUUGAAUCCUCUGAAGCAAAUAUGAGUUUGUAAAAAAAUAAA